AUUGAACGCUGGCGGCGUGCUUAACACAUGCAAGUCGUGCGGUAACAGGCGUAGCAAUACGUGCUGACGAGCGGCGAACGGGUGCGUAAUACAUGGGGAUCUGCCCUUUAGUGGGGAAUAACCUGGCGAAAGCCGGGCUAAUGCCGCAUAAGAUCUUCGGAUGAAAGCGGGGAGUCGUAAGACCUCGCGCUGAUGGAUGAGCCCAUGUCGGAUUAGCUAGUUGGUGAGGUAACGGCUCACCAA
rnacentral:rRNA from 1 species